rnacentral:rRNA from 1 species
AUUGCAUAUCAAUAAGCGGAGGAAAAGAAACCAACCGGGAUUGCCUCAGUAACGGCGAGUGAAGCGGCAAGAGCUCAAAUUUGAAAGCUGGCCCCUCCGGGGUCCGCGUUGUAAUUUGCAGAGGAUGCUUUGGGUGCGGCCCCCGUCUAAGUGCCCUGGAACGGGCCGUCAGAGAGGGUGAGAAUCCCGUCUUGGGCGGGGUGUCCGUGCCCGUGUAAAGCUCCUUCGACGAGUCGAGUUGUUUGGGAAUGCAGCUCUAAAUGGGUGGUAAAUUUCAUCUAAAGCUAAAUACUGGCCGGAGACCGAUAGCGCACAAGUAGAGUGAUCGAAAGAUGAAAAGCACUUUGAAAAGAGAGUUAAACAGCACGUGAAAUUGUUGAAAGGGAAGCGCUUGCGACCAGACUCGCCCUCGGGGUUCAGCCGGCACUCGUGCCGGUGUACUUCCCCGGGGGCGGGCCAGCGUCAGCUUGGGCGGCCGGUCAAAGGCCUCCGGAAUGUAGUGCCCCCCGGGGCACCUUAUAGCCGGAGGUGCAAUGCGGCCAGCCUGGGCUGAGGAACGCGCUUCGGCACGGACGCUGGCAUAAUGGUCGCAAACGACCCGUCUUGAAACACGGACCAAU